AUAGGGGAGCCGAAGGGAAACCGAGUCUUAACCGGGCGUUAAGUUGCAGGGUAUAGACCCGAAACCCGGUGAUCUAGCCAUGGGCAGGUUGAAGGUUGGGUAACACUAACUGGAGGACCGAACCGACUAAUGUUGAAAAAUUAGCGGAUGACUUGUGGCUGGGGGUGAAAGGCCAAUCAAACCGGGAGAUAGCUGGUUCUCCCCGAAAGCUAUUUAGGUAGCGCCUCGUGAACUCAUCUUCGGGGGUAGAGCACUGUUUCGGCUAGGGGGUCAUCCCGACUUACCAACCCGAUGCAAACUGCGAAUACCGAAGAAUGUUAUCACGGGAGACACACGGCGGGUGCUAACGUCCGUCGUGAAGAGGGAAACAACCCAGACCGCCAGCUAAGGUCCCAAAGUCACAGUUAAGUGGGAAACGAUGUGGGAAGGCUCAGACAGCCAGGAUGUUGGCUUAGAAGCAGCCAUCAUUUAAAGAAAGCGUAAUAGCUCACUGGUCGAGUCGGCCUGCGCGGAAGAUGUAACGGGGCUAAACUGUGCACCGAAGCUGCGGCAGCGACGCUUAUGCGUUGUUGGGUAGGGGAGCGUUCUGUAAGCCUGCGAAGGUGUCCUGUGAGGGAUGCUGGAGGUAUCAGAAGUGCGAAUGCUGACAUAAGUAACGAUAAUGCGGGUGAAAAGCCCGCUCGCCGGAAGACCAAGGGUUCCUGUCCAACGUUAAUCGGGGCAGGGUGAGUCGACCCCUAAGGCGAGGCCGAAAGGCGUAGUCGAUGGGAAACGGGUUAAUAUUCCCGUACUUGGUGUUACUGCGAAGGGGGGACGGAGAAGGCUAUGUUGGCCGGGCGACGGUUGUCCCGGUUUAAGCGUGUAGGCUGGUUUUCCAGGCAAAUCCGGAAAAUCAAG
rnacentral:rRNA from 2 species